GAUGAAGAACGCAGCGAAAUGCGAUAAGUAAUGUGAAUUGCAGAAUUCAGUGAAUCAUCGAAUCUUUGAACGCACAUUGCGCCCCCUGGUAUUCCGGGGGGCAUGCCUGUUCGAGCGUCAUUUCACCACUCAAGCCUCGCUUGGUAUUGGGCGACGCGGUCCGCCGCGCGCCUCAAAUCGACCGGCUGGGUCUUCCGUCCCCUCAGCGUUGUGGAAACUAUUCGCUAAAGGGUGCCGCGGGAGGUCACGCCGCAAAACAACCCCAUGUCUAAGGUUGACCUCGGAUCAGGUAGGGAUACCCGCUGAACUUAAGCAUAUCAAUAAGCGGAGGA
rnacentral:misc_RNA from 1 species